CUCUGGCCUGAAUCGAUGUCCCACGUUAUCUGGCUCUCUGUAACACAGAGUCACAAAGUCAAAGUCUUCCUUGGUGAACCAGUUCAUGACAGUAUCGAUGUUCGCACUCCGCUCUGUCUCGUUGCUGUUUGGAGACAGGGUUUCACCAUGUUGGCCAGGCUUGUCUUGAACUCCUGACGUCGUGAUCUGCCUGCUUUGGCCUCCCAAAGUCCUGGGAUUACAGGCAUGAGCCACCGUACCCAGCCACUCUUGAUUAACUUAAUGGAAAUAUUUACAGAGAUUCUUUCUCUUCUGGGUUCUAGCGUCUUAUCUGUAACCUCUGCAGGGGAGUCACUGAGCAGAACGAAGCGAGUUGCCUGAGAUUCUUCAAAGCCCCAGCCCUUUUGGAGGUUACAUUGUUAUUCUCAGAGCCUUUAUGAUGCAUAAUAAAGACCUAGCUUGUACC
rnacentral:lncRNA from 10 species